CCCAUCCAGGUCUGGCAGAUGUGCAGCAGGUCACAGCCAGGCAGCAGCCUCCACUGCCAGACUGCUACAGUGGGUAACGGGUGCAGGGGACUCUCAGGGCUUCUUCAACAGUCCAGAGAGCCCAUGGGG